ACAGAGGGUGCGAGCGUUAAUCGGAAUUACUGGGCGUAAAGCGUGCGUAGACGGCUAUCUAAGUCGGGUGUGAAAGCCCCGGGCUCAACCUGGGAAUGGCAUGGGAAACUGGCGGGCUGGAGUGUGGCAGAGGGGGGUGGAAUUCCGCGUGUAGCAGUGAAAUGCGUAGAGAUGCGGAGGAACACCGAUGGCGAAGGCAGCCCCCUGGGCCAACACUGACGCUCAGGCACGAAAGCGUGGGGAGCAAACAGGA
rnacentral:rRNA from 1 species